CCUACGGGAGGCUGCAGUGAGGAAUAUUGGUCAAUGGACGAGAGUCUGAACCAGCCAAGUAGCGUGAAGGAUGACUGCCCUAUGGGUUGUAAACUUCUUUUAUAUGGGAAUAAAAUGUUCCACGUGUGGGAUUUUGUAUGUACCAUAUGAAUAAGGAUCGGCUAACUCCGUGCCAGCAGCCGCGGUAAUACGGAGGAUCCGAGCGUUAUCCGGAUUUAUUGGGUUUAAAGGGAGCGUAGGUGGAUUGUUAAGUCAGUUGUGAAAGUUUGCGGCUCAACCGUAAAAUUGCAGUUGAAACUGGCAGUCUUGAGUACAGUAGAGGUGGGCGGAAUUCGUGGUGUAGCGGUGAAAUGCUUAGAUAUCACGAAGAACUCCGAUUGCGAAGGCAGUUCACUGGACUGCAACUGACACUGAGGCUCGAAAGUGUGGAUAUCAAACAGGAUUAGAUACCCUAGUAGUC
rnacentral:rRNA from 1 species